rnacentral:lncRNA from 1 species
AUUAUAGUUAAAAAUAAUUUGUAAUUUAAAAAAUAAGGUACUUAAAUAUAGCCUUUGAAAACAACCUCAAGAUUUUUAAAAAUUCUAAAUCCAAAUAACCUUAUGCUUUCUAUCUAAUAUCCUAUCAAUUCUAAAUAUUAAAUAUUUUUUAAAUCCGGCAUCCUAAAUCCCAUCAAUAUUUAAAUUUUUUAAUUCUAUGAAGCCUUUAAUCCUUAGAAUAUCCUAAAAAAGCUUAAUAUAUCUUUACCGAAUCCUAAGCAUAUGCUAAAUUUUAAUUAUUAAAUUAUAAUAAAACAUAGAUUUUAAUUAAGUAGUUAGAAUAAUUUUUAAAUUUUAUAAAAAUAUUUCUUUGUAAGUAUUAUAUUUACUUAAAAGACUCAAGAGAUAUCUAAUUUAUCAAUGGAAAUUUAUUAUAGUAAUUUUCCUACUAAUUUUAUUGAAUUUCUUAUUUUAAAUUUUGAGAAGAAUUUUAGUAGUUAAUUUUUAAUCUUUUGUUGUCAAAUUCUACUCAAACUUAAUUUAUACCUUUUUGUGAUGUCUUACUACUAGCAUCUCAAAUUUAUUCUUUCUUUCAAUUAUAAAUCCUUAAAUAUCUAAAAAAUUACAACUAAUCUUGAAUUAUUUUGUUUUUAUAGUUCCUUGUGUAUGCAGCCAAAUAUCUCUUAAUUUCAUUUCAAAAAGAUCAGAAAAACUUAAAAUACAUCUAUAUAUAAUAUGGACUCCUUAUACAAUUAAAAAAAACUUAAAGUAAAAUUAAAAUAGUUUCAAAUCAAGCACAAAAUUUUAAAUUAUUUUUGAAACUAACUUUCUAGUCUCUCUCUUCGCUUCUUCCAAUCUUCUAAAAUAUCCUCCACUUAUUAUAAAACUUAGUUUUUGUAUAAUGUAAUCAAAUAUUAAUCUUGUCUCACAUAUAGUCAUCUUUUAGAUAUCAAUCAUACUAUUUUUAUGAUAAAAUCUGCAAGAGCCUACCUUUACCUUGUUCUAAAAGUAAUUGUAUAAUUUUUCUAUCAAUUCUAUCUUGUUUUGAUCUAUAUAUAGUCGUUCAAAAGGUAGCAAAAGCCUUUCAAGUUCAAAAGCACCAUAGAACAUUAUUAUAAAUCUAAAUGGUCUUUUAAUUAUAUUUAUUAUCUAUUAAAAUAUUAUAAAUACUAAUUAGUAUGUAAAAAAAACAUAGGAAAGAAAAAUCAUAAUAUUUUACUUAUUUAAAAUCAAUUGAUUUAAAUUGAGUUAAUUACUAGAUUUUUUUUAAAUGUAGAAUAAAAUAGCCUUAAAUUGAUAUUAGUAUUAUAAAAAGUUUAUUUUAUUUUAUAAAUUUUAUUAACAUUUUAUAUAUAAUAUUUUAGGAAUUUUAAGAAUAAAUUUUUAAAAAUUUGUAAAAAUGAUUUUAUCACUUUCAUAGGUUAUUGUAAAGAAAUGGAGCGAGAUUUGACAGAUUUCCAAGACUUUAAGACUAAUUGAAUAUCUUUCAAAACCAUGGUAAACUUAAGAAUGAAAAAAAACAAAAAAAAAAAAAAAAAAAAAAAAAACUUGUACUAGUAGAAAACAUAGUGACCUAUAGCUAGAGUAGUAUUUGUAAGAAGAAAUGUGUACAUGUAUCAUAUGAGUUGUUGCAGCUUGGAAGUAGGUAGGAGUAUAAAACUAAGGCCUUGUGGCCCCUCUAAGAUAUCUACAGAGCACUUUGUGAGCCUUGGUAAAGCUUGAAUCAUUAACUACGUAAACUAGGUAUCCUUGAAAUAAAAUUUGUUCAUUUAAUAUUUUUUAUUUUUUAUUCUUAUCCAAAAACCUUCAUAACUUAUUCAUAAUAACUUGGAAUCAUCUUUAUUUUUAUACUAUUAGAAAGAUAGAAGAAUUUCUUUUACUAAAAUAUAUUUUAUAUUUUUAUAAUUUAUGUUGUACAAAAUAAAGAUCUAAUUAAAAAAAACUAUAACAACUUUUGUUGUGUGUAUUUAUAUGACUGAAUUUCUUUCACUUCUUUUGUACUUCUUUUUCCAAUGUUCUUUGUAGAUUGUACCUCACUUUAUAUAAUUAAUUACAAAAAAUUGUUAAUUAAGUCCCACUUAUAAUUUGGAUUGAACAGUGAAUUUUAUCCUUAUAAUUAAUAGAUAAAAUUGAGAUUACAAAAAAAUAGCCUAAAUUUUAAAUAAUAUAUAUAUAUAGAUACUAAUAAUUUUAAAAAACAAAAUUAAGAUAUUUAAAAUACUUAGUUGGUCUUUAUAAAUAAUAAUAAUAUUAUAAAUUUAUAAUAAUAAUAAUAAUAACUUAUAUA